CUCCACUAGUAUAUAAAAGGGUCGAGCUGACCUGGGCGAGACUGACCGAGUCCACCAAGUCCGACCCGAGCCGAACGCUCGGCUCGCAGCUUCGCCUUCCACAGCGGCGUCGCGUCCGGCCCCACCCGCAACGAACCAACCGUGCCCGAAUUCCCCAAUUCCUCGCCUCCCCCACCCGAACCCUAACCCUAGCCCGCCAUGGACGGCGACGCCUCGCCGGCGGCGGCGCACGUGCCCCCACCUCCUCCGCCCGCCGCCGCCCCGGCGCGGGACAUGUCGGCGUCGCCGACGAGCUCGCGGUCCGUGACGGAGACGGUGAACGGGUCCCACCGCUUCGUGAUCCAGGGCUACUCGCUCGCCAAGGGCAUGGGCGUGGGGAAGCACAUCGCCAGCGAGACCUUCACCGUGGGCGGGUACCAGUGGGCGGUCUACUUCUACCCCGACGGGAAGAACCCCGAGGACAACUCCGCCUACGUCUCCGUCUUCAUCGCGCUCGCCUCCGAGGGCACCGACGUCCGCGCGCUCUUCGAGCUCACGCUCCUCGACCAGAGCGGCAAGGGCAAGCACAAGGUCCACUCCCACUUCGACCGCUCCCUCGAGUCCGGGCCGUACACCCUCAAGUACCGUGGCUCCAUGUGGGGUUACAAACGGUUCUUUCGGCGAACUUCUCUUGAGACAUCAGACUUUCUUAAAGAUGAUUGCCUGAAGAUAAAUUGCACUGUGGGUGUUGUGGUCUCAACUAUUGAUUACUCCAGACCACACUCUAUCCAUGUUCCAGACUCAGAUAUUGGAUAUCAUUUUGGUUCGAUGUUGGACAAUCAGGAGGGUGUUGAUGUCAUUCUUAAUGUGGGAGGAGAGAGGUUUCAUGCCCAUAAGUUAGUGUUGGCUGCACGAUCUCCUGUAUUCAGAUCUCAAUUUUUUGAUGAUGAGUCGGAUGGAGAGAAGAGUGAGGUUGAUGAGAGCGAUGAAGUGAAAGAGUUUGCUAUUGAUGAUAUGGAGCCAAAAGUUUUUAAGGCGAUGCUUCAUUUCAUCUAUAGUGAUUCCCUUGUUGAUGAUAACGAGUUGGGUGCAUCAAGCUCUGACGGUUCUAUCUUCGAUACUCUGGCAGCAAAGUUGUUGGCUGCAGCAGACAAGUAUGACUUAGCAAGACUAAGAUUGCUAUGUGAGUCUUACCUGUGCAAGGGCAUUUCUGUGACGUCAGUUGCGAGUACACUAGCAUUGGCUGAUCGUCACCAUGCUAUGGAGCUUAAAGCUGUUUGCCUAAAAUUUGCUGCAGAAAACCUUUCAGAUACCCUUAUGUCUCUGCAGCUGUAAUCCGGACUGAGGGGUUUGAUUACCUCAAGGACAACUGCCCAUCGCUACAGUCAGAGAUACUGAAAACUGUUGCCGGGUGCGAGGAAGAGUGCAGUAGCGGCGGGAAGAGCCAGAGCGUUUUGGGGCAGCUCUCAGACGGUGGUGACACCAGUGGCCGCAGGGUUAGGCCAAGAAUUUAAGAUCACCCCAGAACUGACAUGUUACUGAAUUGAUGUGAAGAUACAUGUUUGCAGCAGUUAUCUGUCACUAACAGAUUGAUUUAGCUGUACUCUUCUCUCAAAUGAACGGUAACAGAAGAACUGAAUUAUGUCGUGAUGCUCAGAUGUAGUCAUUUUACUAAACAAUACGAAAGACUGGAGAGUAAAGAGAUUAGUUGAUUGGAGGUGACAGAA